GCUGGGCGUGGUGGUGCACGCCUUUAAUCCCAGCACUUGGGAGACAGAGGCAGGUGAAUUUCUGAGUUUGAGGCCAGCCUGGUCUGCAGAGUGAGUUCCAGGGCAGCCAGGGCUACACAGAGAAACCCUGUCUCGAAAAACAAAACAAAACAAGAUAUGGUUUCUCUGUGUAGUUCUGGCUGUCCUGGAGCUCGCACUGUAGACCAGGCUGGCCUCCAACUCAGAGCACUCCAUCCAUCUGCCU
rnacentral:sRNA from 1 species